AGCUGGUCAUGUAAUAUGUUAGCAAAUGGCAGACUGAAAAUGUAGAGCAAGGUUGGGCUAACGGAUUUUUAUCAAGAGGAAAUGCGGGGGCGUGGUGUUCGUCUGUGUGAGUCUAGGGAGCACUAGGGAGUGGUCGAAAAGAGUGAUGGGAGAAAGGACAACGCCAAAGAACAAAGAAGCUCUUUACACACGAUCAGUGCCUGCCCUCCGUAGCUCCUUCCGGAACCACUGAUGUUACUAAAGCAUAAAUUAAUUCUCUGAGAGCAGAAGUUAUUAGGCCGUUGUUAUUGUAGUCAGGGUAGGCUCACCUUGGAGGAGAAAUGCCACAGUAAUAGGACAGUCAUUGGAGUUCACACUGCACGUUGAAGCUGGGAAGGCUGUUCUACCACGCAAUGCAUCCAAGUAAGAGAAUCCCUCUGGACAUGAGCAUUCCUAAAGGAUGGAGCAAGCCAUCCCUGGCUAUUCUAGAUUUCACUGUGUAGGCCGAGCUGUCCUCAAACUCAAAAGGAUCAGCUUUCCUCUGCCUCCUGAGUACUGGGACUACAGCUGGUGUCACCAUGGCCAGCUUUCCUUCAGCAUUCUUUAGCACGGGUCUGAAGCCUCACCUUCACAGUGAGGAAACCAGCCAUGAAAAUCAUCCUUCAAUAACUACGUCUUUCAUGUUCUGUGUAUCAGUGUCCUCCUGUUCCUGGGAUCCUGCACUUGAUGAUUCUUGCCAGUAUCUAGGAUCGGUGAGCACUGUGCAUCAGAAUCAGAAAGUCUUUCAAGUUUCUUAUGAUGGCCACUGUCACUGGAACUGUUGAAGGACUCCAUUGGCACUGUCUGCACAACUGAAGUAAUUUCUUACUAAGAUGCCAGCCAUGUGUUGUCCAGCACGAAUGAAAAAUCCUGGAAAUGAGAAAACGAGAGAACAGACAUGUACUUCCUGCAGAAGGGAAACUCCUCCCUGGAAAGCUCGAACUCUGAGUCUCUCCGUAGGAUUGUGGCCUAGCAUUCAUCAUGAUAGAAGCUGUGGACUCUCCAAGCUGGCUGAACAUUCCGGGUGGGGCAUCCUAAGCUUAAACAAGCAGGAUUCUGACAGAAGCACACCAGGCAAUGUGAGGCUCCAUCCAGUCAAAUACAGGAGGCAUGAAGCUCACUCAGUGACACACAGAAUAAGUAAGAGAUGGACACUGCCUCAGUGUAAGAUCAAGGCUGUCAGGAUCACCAUAAAGAAUCACAAAGAGCAAGAGAGAAAGCACGAUCAAGAGGAGCGGGGUCAAAAUCCUGUGACUUAGCUGUGGCCGUAACAAUACACAUGACAAAGUUUGAAUGAGAAAGUCCAUCUAGGAGAGAAAGUCAGACUCUGGACCUUGGAAGAUCACCUCUGCCAGAAAUCAUAAGCAAAAUUCUUCACCCCAGAGGCUCCAAUCUCAUUCCAAACCGGAAGUGAAGAUAUCUAUCACUGGGCGAGGCAGCGCUGGACCAGCGGGAGGAUGAGAGUCAGUAAUUGCUAUUCUGGUUGUUCAGCUCUGACAAUAAACUCAUAACUGCAGCUCGGUGAGAUGCACAAAGGAGAGAAAGACAAACACAGGCCCAGGGCUCCUUAGGAGGUGCUUUCAGAAACAGGAUGAAGAGUGUUACAGAAACUGAAGCCCAGUGUCAUGAGCAGAUAAACAGUCAGUUCUCGCUCCCUGCGAGUUGCCUAGGUGAUUUGCAGAAGACCGGGGAAUUGCUUGAUUCCCCUUUCCUUUCAAACAUAGAUGAAGUAAUUAAAAACCUGCCCCGGGAGAAAGUUCUUGGCCCUGGCGGAGCUACAGGAGAUUUCUAUAAAACCUUUGGCUUAGCUCUUUCUGUACAUCUACUUGAUGAGCUCGGUCAUGUGACGGGCUCAGGUGAAUUUAUCUCUGCCAGCCCCUAUAUCCAGAUUAUCUUAAUUGCUGAGAAGGAUAAAGAGACAGAAAACUGUACCAAAACCCAUUUCAGACUUGUGAUGAAAGUAGAUAUCAAGUUUUAGAGUGGAUUUUGGUCAUGCUCAUCAGUGUCUGGAUCUGAGGGUAACCAAGCUGCUCUUGGGGGUGGGUUGUUUUAGACUACAGCUAUUUAAAAGAAAACAGCCAUAAAACCAUAUCCUAGAUUCAAAUUCUGUGCCGAUCGCAGGACAGUAGCACCCUCAUUUAUUGCUUUUCUUUACUAGCAAAUAGGGUAGUUUUUGUUUGUUUGUUGGCAGAAAGGUAUCAGAGAUGUACUAUAUAUUAUGAUAUAUAUAUAUAUAUAUUCUUGGAAAAAACAAUUUCCUUUUGAUUCGAGACUUUCCAGGUCUUUGAGUAAGUUAGAAGUAGAUUUAAAAAGAGAUUAUGUAGGCUUGCUUCCAAAACUGCCAUAGAUGUAUUGAAGGCUACAAACCAAAUUUAAAAGGAUAACUGUAAAAUUCAUUAUGGUGUUUCCUAUAGCACCCAAGGGUAUGUGGAGGCUGCUUUUAUCUUUCAAUUUGCUUAUGCGUCCCUCUGUCCAUCACUCCGUCUUUCCUCCCACUAGCUCACCUAUCUAUCUAUCUAUCUAUCUAUCUAUCUAUCUAUCACUGACAUUUUUGGAUAUUGUGGUCUAUUAAGUUACACUUCUUUUAUUCUUGUUCUCUUGCUCAGUAACAAUACACAUGACAAAGUUUGAAUGAGAA